rnacentral:rRNA from 1 species
UUUCGCCUACGGGGGGCAGCAGUGAGGAAUAUUGGUCAAUGGGCGAGAGCCUGAACCAGCCAAGUCGCGUGAGGGAAGACGGUCCUAUGGAUUGUAAACCUCUUUUGCCGGGGAGCAAAAGGCGGUACGUGUACCGCAUCGAGAGUACCCGGAGAAAAAGCAUCGGCUAACUCCGUGCCAGCAGCCGCGGUAAUACGGAGGAUGCGAGCGUUAUCCGGAUUUAUUGGGUUUAAAGGGUGCGCAGGCGGAAGAUCAAGUCAGCGGUAAAAUUGAGAGGCUCAACCUCUUCGAGCGGU